AUGAGUCCUCCCUACGAGACCCGUGGUAGACCACCACGUUGAUAGGCCGGAGGUGUAAGCGCAGUAAUGCGUUGAGCUGACCGGUACUAAUCGGUCCAUUGGCUUUAUAUC
rnacentral:rRNA from 1 species